UACGAAGGGGGCUAGCGUUGCUCGGAAUUACUGGGCGUAAAGGGCGCGUAGGCGGACAGUUUAGUCAGAGGUGAAAGCCCAGGGCUCAACCUUGGAAUUGCCUUUGAUACUGGCUGUCUUGAGUUCGGGAGAGGUGAGUGGAAUGCCGAGUGUAGAGGUGAAAUUCGUAGAUAUUCGCAGGAACACCAGUGGCGAAGGCGGCUCACUGGCCCGAUACUGACGCUGAGGUGCGAAAGCGUGGGGAGCAAACAGG
rnacentral:rRNA from 1 species